rnacentral:misc_RNA from 1 species
UCUAGCAAACAAGAAGAUAAUUUUUUUUAAAACAUAAAAUGUCCAGGAACACCAGUACAACUACCACAGCAAGGAAGUUCAGUUAUAGACUCAAGAAAGACACUGGAGGAUCAUACAUAGACCUCCAUCACAGAAGAGGACAUAUGUUUCCAUCACAAAAGUUACAGCUAACCCGGAGAAAAACUGCAUUAGAGUUCUAGAAGAACAUAAAGUAGCCAAUUUUAUCAGCUUAUUGAAGACACGGCUUGCCAGUUUAUUUAACACAGAAAUCUAGACACAACUCUAUACAUAAAUAAUUUAGCGAUACUGAGGUGCCAAUUCCCCAUCCUUGACAAUGUAAUUUUCAGCAGGGAAAUCCUCACCCUUGAAGUACCUGUCCAACAUAUCCUUUGUUCCAGCUGCAUACCUCAACUGUGCAUCAAUGGUAGUCCCAGAAAUGUGAGGAGUCAUAGCUUGGUUUGGCAUGUAACGCCAUAGAUGGUCCUUGGGAGCUGGUUGUGGGUACCAAACAUCUCCACUGUAUCCUGCAAUAUGACCGCUGUUACAAGCAUCAACAACUGCUUGAGUGUCCAUAAUUGCUCCUCGAGCAUUGUUUACAAUUAGAACUCCCUUCUUCAACUUUGCAAUUCUUUCCUUGUCAAACAUUCCUUUUGUUUUCUCUGUAAGAGGCGUAUUGAUGACCACUAUGUCACAUUUCGAGAGCAUCUUAUCGAGAUCUUCCUCAAACUUUGCUCCAAUUUGAUUCUCUAGCUCAGAAUCCAUCUUAAGACGGUCAUGGUAAAGUAGAUUACAGUUAAAUGGCUUCAAUCGCUGGAGUAAAAGUCUGCCAAUACGUCCUGCACCAACAGUUCCAACAGUCUUGCCUUCCAAAUCAUAAGCUCUGUGCGCAAUUGCAGCAACAUUCCACUCCCCAUUGAUAACCUGAUGAUGUCCAGGUAAGAAAUUUCGGACAAGAAUUAAGAUUCGCAUCAGUUCAUCUUCCGCAACUGAGACAGUAUUGCUUCCAGUGACCUCUGCUACUGUCAAUCCAGCAGCAGCAGCAGCUUUCAGAUCAACAUGAUCUGAUCCAAUUCCAGCUGUCAGCAGAAGUUGUAGAUUUUUUGCCUUCUUGAUCCUUUCAGCCGUGACAUAGGCAGGAUGAAAAGGGGUCGAAAUCAACACAUGGAGAUCAGGAAUGUGUUUCUCAAGCUCACAAUCUGGUCCUUCUUUGUCAGGAGUGACUAUGUACUGAUGACCUUUAGACUCUAACCAUUCACGUAUCCCCAAGGCAUUUUCUGCACAGCCCAAAAAGUUGGGGUUCAUUUCAGCAUAUUCAUUUGCUUUGUAGAAAACACCCACAAUCUUU